rnacentral:rRNA from 1 species
UACGAAGGGGGCUAGCGUUGCUCGGAAUUACUGGGGCGUAAAGCGCACGUAGGCGGCUUUGUAAGUUAGAGGUGAAAGCCCGGGGCUCAACCCCCGGAAUUGCCUUUAAGACUGCAUCGCUUGAAUCCGGGAGAGGUGAGUGGAAUUCCGAGUGUAGAGGGUGAAAAUUCGUAGAUAUUCGGGAAGAACACCAGUGGGCGAAAGGCGGCUCACUGGACCGGUAUUGACGCUGAGGUGCGAAAGCCGUGGGGAGCAAACAGG